GACGUAGGAUCCGAGCGUUGUCCGGAGUUACUGGGCGUAAAGCGCGCGCAGGCGGACACGCGCAUCGGCGGUGAAAGCCCCCCGCUCAACGGGGGAGGGUCCGUCGAGAUGGCGUGUCUGGAGGCAGGGAGAGGCCAGUGGAAUUCCGGGUGUAGUGGUGAAAUGCGUAGAUAUUGGAAAGACCACCAAUGGCGAAGGCACUCUACUGGGCCACAACUGACACUGAGAGACGAAAGCUAGGGGAGCAAAUGGG
rnacentral:rRNA from 1 species